AAAGAAUCUUUAUUUUUACAAGUGUAUGUUACACAAUACAUAUAAGCUAUUAUACAUAAUAUAUAUUGAGAACUCGGUAGUGGAAAUGACACCCUAAAUUCGGGAGGCAGUCUGUAACGGCCUUGUAUAUGCCUCCUUUGCUUGACUAACUCCAACAAGAAAGAUAUGGUAAAAAUGGUCCCUUGACACACAGACCAAAAUACAAUAUUCUGUGAUAUUCAAAUCACUAAAUAAUGUACAGCAUAUAUUUAACAUCCAUCUGACCAGGCUACAAUUUAGUAGUUCAAAGUGAAAGAGCAAUGAAAUAAUCCAUGCAUUAAUCGCUUAUUAUGAACGUAAUUAUCAGAAUUGAUAAUCGUCUUGUUUUGACAAAUCCAAGGGAUUAAAGAUAUUUACAGUUAACCAUAAUUAUACAAAAUAAUUUUGAGGAACUGUAUGUAGGCUACUUAGACGACUCAACAAGUGAAAACGCAGGAGGAAAUUACACCGUUUGAAAAAUAUAUGCAUGACAGAUCGUGUGAAGUAAAAAAUAUUUUGUUACAUUGAAGCAUUUACGAUUUAUUGUUUUGUUGUUGUUGUUUUGUGUGUGUUGCAUAUUCUUGCAAAGGAGAACUGUCUCAUCAAUAGAGUGUAGCCUACAUAUCUUAAGAAAACAACGAAUCUUGCAAAAAGUUUAUGGCUGGUAUAGCCUAGGCUAUUAUCAUGACUAAAGUUAUAGACAGCACUUGAUACUUUCGGGAGAAAGGCAUCCGGCAUUUGAGCGAGAUGAAUGAAUUAGCUUCAGAAUGAUAUUUUAUUCAUUUACAGACCGAUUGCAUUUACUGGCAUUUGAAAGGCACAAAUAUAUUUUCUGUUUGAUGAGAAAGUUUAAUAACAAUCCACGAGUGUUGACAUCUGCUUGGUAGCGAGCGUGUCUGAAUUCGCUUAUUUAGCCUACUCUUCAUUUAACCGAUCGCCUCAAAUUACCACAUUCUGCUUAAAGCGAAUUCGACUAAACCUGUCACUAUAGUUUUUGGCUAGACGUGCGAUUUAAAUAACCAAACUAGUAAUUGGAGAAAAAAAAACAUUUCUAGCCAUGAAACUUUUUUGUAAAACAAAUUUAUUCAUUUAGGAAUAGGAUGGUCUUGAGUAGAAACGUCAGUUUAAAUAAAACUCUCCGUCCCACAUAAUGGGUUAACCUGAUACUGCAAUAACAUCACAGAAAGAAACAUUCACAAAACAAAAGUGGAACAUUUCAACAAGACGUACAAUGGUUCACAAGCUUAAAAAAAACAACUCACUAUAAAUAAAACAAACUUUGCGCUUGCGACCAGCACAGUCUUUAAUUAUAAUAAAACCUAGUUCAUAAAUGAACAACAAAAAACUACACAGAUUUGGACAAAACUGGCAAUCUAAAAAUAAGUGUAAACAUUUAUGAGUGAACAUAGAUUCGCUCCAUUUUUCUUUCUUUUUUGUUUUUGAAACAGGCUACAGCCUCUUCACGAAGCCACGUGCCUUUUUCAUAGAAACAAACUCUGACGGCAAAUAAGUCAGAAGUCCAAUAUUCUUCUACAGACGUUGAUUGCUUUACAGCUUAUGAUAAAAAGCUCCUCUGCAUUACAGUUUAUUCAGAAGAGUCCCGAUAUGUCGUCAUAAAAUGCUCUAAAACGGACAACUCAUUGAGAUUAAAAAUAGAAAUUGAACUUCGAUUCUUUUUUGCGAAUCAAAAUGUUCAAGUAUCCGAUGUAGCCUACUUAGUCUUUUUAGGAGUCUUUUAAAUGUGGGUAAGGGGUAGCGUUCCGUUCACGCCAGUCCCUGCGCUUUGAUAGUGCGGGUGAACGCUGUGUAACCGACUGCUCUGUAGGCUGGAGUGGUCGGCGCUGUCUCCUCCGGGGGGCAGGUACAUGCUUAUCAUAUCCCUCAGGUCUCCCAAACAAGCACGCUGAGAGUGAGAGGUUAUGGCCGGAGGAGGAGAGCUGGGUUCCGUCUUGCACACUGAAGCAAUGGAGCCCAAACCCAUUGCACUGGAAGUUUGCUGCGUGUAUGCUGGUGACAUGCUGUACGUGGACGCGGCGUUCAUGUAGGUCUGGGCCGUGGACAUCAUCGGGUACUGAAGUCCCGCCAUGUCGUACCGGUGCAUCUGCUGGAUCUGGGGGCUGUUCAUGCUGGGAUGCUGAGGGUAGGCCAGCUGGUCCUGCAUGAGAGAGUACGCGCUGUUCGUCCAGCCGUUCAUGUGCGUGUACUCCAUCCGCUGGCCCACUGACACGGCGUUGUUGACAGCGGUGGCACCGUGUGCCAAAAGUCCUCCGGGCAAGGAAUACUUGUCUUUCUUCAGCAGGGUCUUGGUCUUCCUGCGGGGACGGUAUUUGUAAUCCGGGUGCUCCUUCAUGUGCAUGGCUCGUAACCGCUUGGCCUCAUCAAUGAAGGGUCUCUUUUCGGCGUCAGUCAGAAUUUUCCAGUCAGCACCGAGGCGCUUGCUGAUCUCAGAGUUGUGCAUUUUGGGAUUCUCUUGUGCCAUCUUCCGCCGCUGGCCGCGGGACCACACCAUGAAAGCAUUCAUAGGCCGCUUCACCCGGUCCUGGUCGUUGGAACUGUUGUUUUUGCCGCCCGCCGCGGAGCCCGUGUUGGACUGCGGAAGGGGGCUUUUAAUCUCGGUUUCCAUCAUGUUAUACAUUCAAACGACUUGAAAGUGGUGCCGAGCACUCGAAAGAAAACGCUGAAGUUUAAAUAGCCUCACAAAAUAAAGAAGUAGCCUGUUGUCAGUCAAAAGUUCAAGAGAGCUAAAACUCUGAUCAAGUGAAAAGCAGCGAACCCUUUCAACUGUCUCCACGCUAGUCCCGUGUGUCUUGCUCUGCUCUGCUCUGCCACGGAACUCUGCAAAGUUGUGCGAUAAACUCAGCUGUUAAUAGAGGCUCGGCCAUGUGAUUUGGAUUGACAGCAUAACAAUGAGCUCAGCGCCGACCAAUCAGAGAGCGCCUAACACUCCG
ensembl:lncRNA